CUUCACGUUCUACCUCGACACGU
rnacentral:siRNA from 1 species